AAGAAAAGAAGAAAAGGAAAAAAGAAGAAAAGGAAGAAGGAGAGGGGAGGCGACGACGACUGCCGUCGCUGGAGAGGAGAGGAAGAAGGAAGGAAGAGAAGGAGAGGAAGAAGGAGAGAAGAAUAGAAGGAAGAAGGAAAGGAGAAGGUAGCGCUAGAGGAGAAGAAGAAGAAAAGAAAAAAAGUUGAGGAGGAAGAGUGGCGGCAACGGCGCCGCCGCCGCCGGCUGUGGAAGAAGAGAGGGUAGAGAGAAGGGAGAGGAAAGGAGUGAUAGAGAGAGGUAGUAGGGUUUCAAAUGGCUGAUUUGGGUUUAAGAGGGGUAUUUAUAUCAUCUAGGUAAAUUACGAUUUUGCCCCUCACCUUCCUUCUUGGCAGACAAAAUAUCUGGGGGUAGUUUCGUUUUUUCCAGCCCUGAGUCGGGUAAUUGAGCAGUCGGACCGGUCAACUCGCUCAACGAUUUUGGCCUUCCUCCCAUCUCGUUUCGGACCAAAUUCCGACUCGGCCCAUUUCGGUCAAAAGCCCCUUAGUUCGUUUUGUAUAUUAAGUUUUAUUAAGUCUGGAGUAAAACCGAAAUAAGUGUAGGUUAAUAAAAAAAUUUUAAAUUCUCUAAUUUUAUUGAAUAUAUAAAGUAAAAAUUGUAAAACCUAAAAAAUCGAAUCGUCCAAAUAUUUAAAAUCGAUUUAACAUGUUUAAUGUCGAUAACGUGAAUUUAACAAUAAUAAAAUCAUCGAAUCACUAAAAGUGUUUGUGUCAGAUAUAUCCGAAUAUAGGUUCGUUUAUUGUCCGAUAGCAUAUUGCUAUUUUUCUUUUUCUUUUUAAACUUAAAUUAAUUAAUACAAAUCAACCAAAUCAUCCUUAAAAGACUUCAAAAUCAAAUAUGACAUUAAUACUAAUAAGACUUUCAACAAAUAAGUGCCCAAAUUGUAAAGCAUUAAUAAUCCUUAUUAUUCCCCUUAGCUUUAUAAAAUAACAAAUAUUCCAAUUUGCGAGCUAGGGGUUCGUAAAUAGAUUCAUCGCAUAUUUUAUUUUUUGUUCCUUGUCUUUUCCUCGAUAAAUAUAUUAUUGAAUUGGUGUUGAUGGAUUCGGAAUACCGAAACUCAAAAGUAGUUUUUGCAAAAAUAUCGUCAUCAAUCAUUCGACGCGUUUUUUUAAUAAAAGAAAACGAGCACAGUAGCAUAAUGUUGGCUAUAGUAAAAAUUACGCGAAAUCCUCGACAACUUUUACUAUCCGAACUACGCGGACUUUGAUCCCAAAAUAUUGGGUAUGUAGGCAGCCGAGAAAGGCUCAAGUCCACCUUAAAAAUAUAUAUAACUCCAUCAUAAAAAAAUAAUUGCUCCGGUAACGUAUUUUUCGCAAGAGCGAAAAUCCACGAAAAACCGCGAAUAGUAGCGUAAGCUUUCUCAAGUGGGAAACUACGUGAAUCUACUAUCUUAAAACAAAUCAUUUUUUAACUAAUCUAAUCAUAAAACAGAAAAAUCUAUAAACAUAAAAUAAGAAUAGUAGCGUCGGGCUUUACGCUAUUAAAGUCACGUGAAAUUCUCAAAAUAUAAAACUCAUAAAACCUUUCAAAAAUUACCAAACAAACCGCAACUAUUUCGUUACACCUCAAAACAACUUUUUCAAAUCGAACUACGUGGACUUUGAUCCCGAACUCCGGGUACGUAGGCCGUCAUGAGACUUGAGUCCAACCUUAAAGCAAUUUAUUGUUUUCUUCCGACUCUAAAACAAUGUAUUCUUCCCGACUUUAAAAUAAUUUAUAAUUUUAUUUUCAAUUUUAAAACAGCUUGUUAUUUUAUUCCCAAUUUUAAAAUAACUUAUUAUUUUCUUUCCAACUCAAAAAAUAAUUUAUCUUCUUUCCAAUUUCAAACCAAUUCACUAUUUUCUUUUCAACUUCAAAACAAAUUACUAUUUUUCCCAACUUUAAAUUAAUUUAUCAUUUUAUUUCCUACUUUAAAGCAGUUUAUCAUUUUACUUCCAACCUUGAAGCAGCUUAUCAUUCUUCUAAAUUAAAAAUAAUUUAUCGACUUCCCCUUUUGAACUGUUUUACAAAAAUAUAUCUGACUUGAUAUGACCGUAUUGGCGGCCUUAGUCUUCACAAGAGUGAAGACGAGUGAAUUACAUAAUAAAAAGAUUAAACGCACUUUAUAAAAACACACCAAACUUAUCGACUUUUGUAGUACCGGUUUACCGGGCGUUGUGCGGGUGCUAAUCCGUAACCGUCCCUCUUACCCAGAUCUCUGAACGCAGGCCAUGCCCGGUUUAGGUUCCAAAGCCUGACCCAGGCUCCAAGUGUCCAAUCCACUUUUAAGCGAUUGGUGGCGACUCCGAACCAUCGAAAGCCAUCGGCGGGAGGACGGAAACGUUUACGACACUGGGGUUAAAUCUUUCCAAUCUUCUGAACUUUUUGGUUGUAGAAUUAUGGGUUGGUUAAUUAGGUUUCUAGGUUGUUUUGUUUUGGUUUCAUUGGGUUGGAACAAAGAGUAAAAGAGAAGAAGGAAGAAGAGAAAACAUGGAUGAAUGAUUUUAUACUUAUGAAUGAAUGAUUGAUUGAAAUAGUUUAGGGAUUUGAGAGUUUCACUUUGCUCGGGAAUCAAAGUGGGAAUUCGCAGAGGUUUAGUGGGAGUUCUUGAUGGAAUAAGGGUUUGUAUGUAGGAGGAGGAGAAAAAGAAGAAGAAAGGAGUUGGAUUUGUUUGAUUGAUCAAUAAAUUUGCAGAAG
rnacentral:lncRNA from 1 species